rnacentral:rRNA from 1 species
GAUGAACGCUGGCGGCGUGCCUAAUACAUGCAAGUCGAGCGAACAGAUAAGGAGCUUGCUCCUUUGACGUUAGCGGCGGACGGGUGAGUAACACGUGGAUAACCUACCUAUAAGACUGGGAUAACUUCGGGAAACCGGAGCUAAUACCGGAUAACAUAUUGAACCGCAUGGUUCAAUAGUGAAAGGCGGCUUUGCUGUCACUUAUAGAUGGAUCCGCGCCGUAUUAGCUAGUUGGUAAGGUAACGGCUUACCAAGGCAACGAUACGUAGCCGACCUGAGAGGGGGAUCGGCCACACUGGAACUGAGACACGGUCCAGACUCCUACGGGAGGCAGCAGUAGGGAAUCUGCCGCAAUGGGCGAAAGCCUGACGGAGCAACGCCGCGUGAGUGAUGAAGGUCUUCGGAUCGUAAAACUCUGUUAUCAGGGAAGAACAAAUGUGUAAGUAACUGUGCACAUCUUGACGGUACCUGAUCAGAAAGCCACGGCUAACUACGUG